CCUACGGGAGGCAGCAGUGAGGAAUAUUGGUCAAUGGGCGCGAGCCUGAACCAGCCAAGUCGCGUGAAGGAUGACUGCCCUACGGGUUGUAAACUUCUUUUAUAAAGGAAUAAAGUGAGGCACGGGUGCCUUUUUGUAUGUACUUGAUGAAUAAGGAUCGGCUAACUCCGUGCCAGCAGCCGCGGUAAUACGGAGGAUCCGAGCGUUAUCCGGAUUUAUUGGGUUUAAAGGGAGCGUAGAUGGGUUGUUAAGUCAGUUGUGAAAGUUUGCGGCUCAACCGUAAAAUUGCAAUUGAUACUGGCAGCCUUGAGUACAGUUGAGGUAGGCGGAAUGCGUGGUGUAGCGGUGAAAUGCUUAGAUAUCACGAAGAACCCCGAUUGCGAAGGCAGCGUGCUAAACUGCCACUGACAUUGAUGCUCGAAAGUGUGGGGAUCAAACAGGAUUAGAUACCCGUGUAGUC
rnacentral:rRNA from 1 species